GAACGCACCUUGCGCCCCUUGGUCAUUCCGAAGGGCAUGCCUGUUCGAGCGUCAUUAAAUACCACUCAAGCUCUUCUGCUUGGUCAUGGAAGAAGAGUAUGCUUGCAUCCUCUCUUCUGAAAUUGAAUGGCGGACCGCCUCAUGUGCCUCGCGUAGUAAGUUCAUCUUUUCGCUGGCAGCGUGAGACAGUCUCGCCAUCAACCCCCAUACUUCUAAGGUUGACCUCGGAUCAGGUAGGGAUACCCGCUGAACUUAAG
rnacentral:misc_RNA from 1 species